UUGCCUCGGCGGAUCAGCCCGCGCCCCGUAAAACGGGACGGCCCGCCGCAGGAACCACAAAACUCUGAUUUUAGUGUAACUUCUGAGUCUAAAAAACAAAUAAAUCAAAACUUUCAACAACGGAUCUCUUGGUUCUGGCAUCGAUGAAGAACGCAGCAAAAUGCGAUAAGUAAUGUGAAUUGCAGAAUUCAGUGAAUCAUCGAAUCUUUGAACGCACAUUGCGCCCGCCAGUAUUCUGGCGGGCAUGCCUGUUCGAGCGUCAUUUCAACCCUCAAGCCCCCGGGUUUGGUGUUGGGGAUCGGGCUGUACUCCAGCCCGGCCCCGAAAUCUAGUGGCGGUCUCGCUGCAGCCUCCAUUGCGUAGUAGCUAACACCUCGCAACUGGAACGCGGCGCGGCCAAGCCGUUAAACCCCCAACUUCUGAAUGUUGACCUCGGAUCAGGUAGGAAUA
rnacentral:rRNA from 1 species